GACGAACGCUGGCGGCGUGCUUAACACAUGCAAGUCGAACGGAAAGGCCCUGCUUUUGUGGGGUGCUCGAGUGGCGAACGGGUGAGUAACACGUGAGUAACCUGCCCUUGACUUUGGGAUGACUUCAGGAAACUGGGGCUAAUACCGGAUAGGAGCUCCUGCUGCAUGGUGGGGGUUGGAAAGUUUCGGCGGUUGGGGAUGGACUCGCGGCUUAUCAGCUUGUUGGUGGGGUAGUGGCUUACCAAGGCUUUGACGGGUAGCCGGCCUGAGAGGGUGACCGGCCACAUUGGGACUGAGAUACGGCCCAGACUCCUACGGGAGGCAGCAGUGGGGAAUAUUGCACAAUGGGCGGAAGCCUGAUGCAGCAACGCCGCGUGCGGGAUGACGGCCUUCGGGUUGUAAACCGCUUUCGCCUGUGACGAAGCGUGAGUGACGGUAAUGGGUAAAGAAGCACCGGCUAACUACGUGCCAGCAGCCGCGGUGAUACGUAGGGUGCGAGCGUUGUCCGGAUUUAUUGGGCGUAAAGGGCUCGUAGGUGGUUGAUCGCGUCGGAAGUGUAAUCUUGGGGCUUAACCCUGAGCGUGCUUUCGAUACGGGUUGACUUGAGGAAGGUAGGGGAGAAUGGAAUUCCUGGUGGAGCGGUGGAAUGCGCAAAUAUCAGGAGGAACACCAGUGGCGAAGGCGGUUCUCUGGGCCUUUCCUGACGCUGAGGAGCGAAAGCGUGGGGAGCGAACAGGCUUAGAUACCCUGGUAGUCCACGCUGUAAACGGUGGGUACUAGGUGUGGGGUCCAUUCCACGGGUUCCGUGCCGUAGCUAACGCUUUAAGUACCCCGCCUGGGGAGUACGGCCGCAAGGCUAAAACUCAAAGGAAUUGACGGGGCCCCGCACAAGCGGCGGAGCAUGCGGAUUAAUUCGAUGCAACGCGUAGAACCUUACCUGGGUUUGACAUGGAUCGGGAGUGCUCAGAGAUGGGUGUGCCUCUUUUGGGGUCGGUUCACAGGUGGUGCAUGCCUGUCGUCAGCUCGUGUCGUGAGAUGUUGGGUUAAGUCCCGCAACGAGCGCAACCCUUGUUCACUGUUGCCAGCACGUUAUGGUGGGGACUCAGUGGAGACCGCCGGGGUCAACUCGGAGGAAGGUGGGGAUGACGUCAAGUCCUCAUGCCCCUUAUGUCCAGGGCUUCACGCAUGCUACAAUGGCUGGUACAGAGAGUGGCGAGCCUGUGAGGGUGAGCGAAUCUCGGAAAGCCGGUCUCAGUUCGGAUUGGGGUCUGCAACCCGACCUCAUGAAGUCGGAGUCGCUAGUAAUCGCAGAUCAGCAACGCUGCGGUGAAUACGUUCCCGGG
rnacentral:rRNA from 1 species